rnacentral:misc_RNA from 1 species
UCGUAACAAGGUUUCCGUAGGUGAACCUGCGGAAGGAUCAUUACUGAGUGAGGGCCCUCUGGGUCCAACCUCCCACCCGUGUUUAUUUACCUUGUUGCUUCGGCGGGCCCGCCUUAACUGGCCGCCGGGGGGCUUACGCCCCCGGGCCCGCGCCCGCCGAAGACACCCUCGAACUCUGUCUGAAGAUUGUAGUCUGAGUGAAAAUAUAAAUUAUUUAAAACUUUCAACAACGGAUCUCUUGGUUCCGGCAUCGAUGAAGAACGCAGCGAAAUGCGAUACGUAAUGUGAAUUGCAAAUUCAGUGAAUCAUCGAGUCUUUGAACGCACAUUGCGCCCCCUGGUAUUCCGGGGGGCAUGCCUGUCCGAGCGUCAUUGCUGCCCUCAAGCACGGCUUGUGUGUUGGGCCCCGUCCUCCGAUUCCGGGGGACGGGCCCGAAAGGCAGCGGCGGCACCGCGUCCGGUCCUCGAGCGUAUGGGGCUUUGUCACCCGCUCUGUAGGCCCGGCCGGCGCUUGCCGAUCAACCCAAAUUUUUAUCCAGGUUGACCUCGGAUCAGGUAGGGAUACCCGCUGAACUUAAGCAUAUCAAUAA